ACGCUCGACACCUACGGGGGCAGCAGUGGGGAAUAUUGCACAAUGGGGGAAACCCUGAUGCAGCAACGCCGCGUGAAGGAAGACGGUUUUCGGAUUGUAAACUUCUGUUCUUAGUGAAGAUAGUGACGGUAGCUAAGGAGCAAGCCACGGCUAACUACGUGCCAGUAGCCGCCGGUAAUCUGAGCGGGCUGGCAAGGC
rnacentral:rRNA from 1 species